AGAGUUUGAUCAUGGCUCAGGAUGAACGCUAGCGGCAGGCUUAACACAUGCAAGUCGAGGGGCAGCGAGAGUGAUAGCAAUAUUACUUGUCGGCGACCGGCGCACGGGUGCGUAACGCGUAUGCAACCUACCAUCAACAGGGGGAUAACACUGAGAAAUUGGUACUAAUACCCCAUAAUAUCUCAUGCGGCAUCGCAUGGGGUUGAAAACUCCGGUGGUUGAUGAUGGGCAUGCGUUGUAUUAGCUGGUUGGUGAGGUAACGGCUCACCAAGGCGACGAUACAUAGGGGGACUGAGAGGUUAACCCCCCACAUUGGUACUGAGACACGGACCAAACUCCUACGGGAGGCAGCAGUGAGGAAUAUUGGUCAAUGGACGCAAGUCUGAACCAGCCAUGCCGCGUGCAGGAUGACGGCUCUAUGAGUUGUAAACUGCUUUUGUACGAGGGUAAACCCCGAUACGUGUAUCGGGUUGAAAGUAUCGUACGAAUAAGGAUCGGCUAACUCCGUGCCAGCAGCCGCGGUAAUACGGAGGAUCCGAGCGUUAUCCGGAUUUAUUGGGUUUAAAGGGUGCGUAGGCGGUUUGAUAAGUUAGAGGUGAAAUGUCGGGGCUCAACCCCGAAACUGCCUCUAGUACUGUUGGACUAGAGAAUAGUUGCGGUAGGCGGAAUGUAUGGUGUAGCGGUGAAAUGCUUAGAGAUCAUACAGAACACCGAUUGCGAAGGCAGCUUACCAAACUAUAUCUGACGUUGAGGCACGAAAGCGUGGGUAGCAAACAGGAUUAGAUACCCUGGUAGUCCACGCAGUAAACGAUGAUAACUCGUUGUCGGCGAUACACAGUCGGUGACUAAGCGAAAGCGAUAGGUUAUCCACCUGGGGAGUACGUUCGCAAGAAUGAAACUCAAAGGAAUUGACGGGGGCCCGCACAAGCGGAGGAACAUGUGGUUUAAUUCGAUGAUACGCGAGGAACCUUACCCGGGCUUGAAAGUUAGCGACGACGCUUGAAAGAGCGUUUCCCUUCGGGGCGCGAAACUAGGUGCUGCAUGGUUGUCGUCAGCUCGUGCCGUGAGGUGUCGGGUUAAGUCCCAUAACGAGCGCAACCCCUACUGUUAGUUGCCAUCAGGUGAUGCUGGGCACUCUAGCGGGACUGCCGGUGUAAGCCGAGAGGAAGGUGGGGAUGACGUCAAAUCAGCACGGCCCUUACGUCCGGGGCCACACACGUGUUACAAUGGUAGGUACAGAGGGCAGCUACCCUGCGAAGGGGUGCGAAUCUCGAAAGCCUAUCUCAGUUCGGAUUGGAGGCUGAAACCCGCCUCCAUGAAGUUGGAUUCGCUAGUAAUCGCGCAUCAGCCAUGGCGCGGUGAAUACGUUCCCGGGCCUUGUACACACCGCCCGUC
rnacentral:rRNA from 1 species